CGAACAAAAAAGCUCGCUCCCAGCGCUGCUGCCACAACUACACAGCCACAUUAAAGCGCUGACUUCAGUGAGGUAUACAACUGUAAUUAAUGCUUAAGAGACAACACUCUUGCUACAGAACAUUUGGUAACAGAACCUUCUUCAUAUUGAAAAGACUGACAGACAGCCAAAGAAUAAAGCAAGUGACCACAGAAAGGAGGUCAGCCCAGUAAUGCCAACUGCACCAAGAAAGUAGGAGAGGUGUCCAUCAACCAGUUGUGGAUCUAGCUACACAAGAAAAAAA